rfam:Schistosoma curassoni strain Dakar, Senegal genome assembly, scaffold: SCTD_scaffold0000295
AUAUAGAACAUGACGAGUCCCAAAUAGGACGAAACGCGCGUCCUGGAU